GAUGAACGCUGGCGGCGUGCCUAACACAUGCAAGUCGAGCGAUCUUCUUCGGAAGGGAGCGGCGGACGGGUGAGUAACGCGUGGGUAACCUGCCCUGUACACACGGAUAACAUACCGAAAGGUAUGCUAAUACGGGAUAACAUAAGAAAGUCGCAUGGCUUUCUUAUCAAAGCUUUUGCGGUACAGGAUGGACCCGCGUCUGAUUAGCUAGUUGGUAAGGUAACGGCUUACCAAGGCGACGAUCAGUAGCCGACCUGAGAGGGUGAUCGGCCACAUUGGAACUGAGACACGGUCCAAACUCCUACGGGAGGCAGCAGUGGGGAAUAUUGCACAAUGGGCGAAAGCCUGAUGCAGCAACGCCGCGUGAGCGAUGAAGGCCUUCGGGUCGUAAAGCUCUGUCCUCAAGGAAGAUAAUGACGGUACUUGAGGAGGAAGCCCCGGCUAACUACGUGCCAGCAGCCGCGGUAAUACGUAGGGGGCUAGCGUUAUCCGGAAUUACUGGGCGUAAAGGGUGCGUAGGCGGUCUUUCAAGUCAGAAGUGAAAGGCUACGGCUCAACCGUAGUAAGCUUUUGAAACUGUAAGACUUGAGUGCAGGAGAGGAGAGUGGAAUUCCUAGUGUAGCGGUGAAAUGCGUAGAUAUUAGGAGGAACACCAGUUGCGAAGGCGGCUCUCUGGACUG
rnacentral:rRNA from 1 species